GCUCCCUUCGUCUAGUGGUUAGGACACUGGCCUCUCACGCCGGUAACAGCGGUUCGAACCCGCUAGGGAGCGCCA
rnacentral:tRNA from 1 species